UACGGAGGGGGCUAGCGUUGCUCGGAAUUACUGGGCGUAAAGCGUACGCAGGCUGUUCGUUAAGUCGGGUGUGAAAUCCCGGGGCUCAACCCCGGAAUUGCGCCCGAAACUGACGAGCUUGAGUGCGGGAGAGGGAAGCGGAAUUCCUGGUGUAGAGGUGGAAUUCGUAGAUAUCAGGAGGAACACCGGUGGCGAAAGCGGCUUCCUGGCCCGACACUGACGCUCAUGUACGAAAGCGUGGGGAGCAAACAGG
rnacentral:rRNA from 1 species